rnacentral:rRNA from 1 species
AUUGAACGCUGGCGGCAUGCCUUACACAUGCAAGUCGAACGGUAACAGGUCUUCGGAUGCUGACGAGUGGCGAACGGGUGAGUAAUACAUCGGAACGUGCCUAGUAGUGGGGGAUAACUACUCGAAAGAGUGGCUAAUACCGCAUGAGAUCUACGGAUGAAAGCAGGGGAGCGCAAGACCUUGUGCUACUAGAGCGGCCGAUGGCAGAGUAUGUAGUUGGUGGGAUAAAAGCUUACCAAGCCGACGAGCUGUAGCUGGUCGGCGAGGACGAUCAGCCAUACUGGGACUGGGACACGGCCCAGACUCCUACGGGAGGCAGCAGUGGGGAAUUUUGGACAAUGGGCGCAAGCCUGAUCCAGCAAUGCCGCGUGCAGGAUGAAGGCCUUCGGGUUGUAAACUGCUUUUGUACGGAACGAAAAGCCCUGGGUUAAUACCCUGGGGUCAUGACGGUACCGUAAGAAUAAGCACCGGCUAACUACGUGCCAGCCGCCGCAGUAAGAC